rnacentral:lncRNA from 1 species
AUCUGAAACAUUUGGAAGCAUUCCCUUUCAUUUCCAGCCAAGACAAAAAUAGAGGGUUCCAUUGUGCUCUCAAGGAAAAAAAAAAAAAAAAUCAAUGUAUUUGGUACUUGGGACUGUCUCAAAAAAUGGGCUCUUACAAAAUAUAUCUAUCUCUGCAGAAAGAAUACCAACACAAGCCAGUCGGACCUCCAAGAGACCCAAAUACAAACAUCUACAACCACUGUCACAGUGAAAAGAUCGCUCUGACUGGCAGAAACCUUUCAGAAGUGAGGACGCGCUGACUCAUUUCCUGCUCGACACUGCAGGUGCUCCCAGGAAUGAUUUGAGCAGCUGGGAAGAUUCAUCUUACAAGUCCAAGCCCAGGAAAAAUGCAUGGGCCAAUCAUUUUGUCUCCUGGGUUCUGGUCUCACUUUCGGCGACAUUUUCCCUCCAUCUCCCACCCCUCCCUUUUCGUGAAUGUCUUCUGGCAUCUGAUCUGACACUCACACUAGGACCUCAGGGAACUGCUGGCUUCAUACAUCACCCACUCAGCAGUAUUUAUGUUCCAAUAGGUACAAAAAGGAGACGUUAACGUUUAAAAUGGAGAAGGAAUUUCUAAUCCUGGAAUUUCAAGUAAUAGUAAAAAAUCUAAAACUGUCUUUUACAUUUACCAAUAAAAGCCAAAUAUGUGCAGAACUAGA